rnacentral:rRNA from 1 species
GAAUUUUGGACAAUGGGCGAAAGCCUGACCCAGCAAUGCCGCGUGCAGGACGAAGGCCUUCGGGUUGUAAACUGCUUUUGUACGGAACGAAAAGCUUUGGGUGAAGAACCUGGAGUCAUGACGGUACCGAAAGACUAGGCACCGGCAGACUACGUGCCAGCAGCCGCGGUAAUACGUAGGGUGCAAGCGUUAAUCGGAAUUACUGGGCGUAAAGCGUGCGCAGGCGGUUGUGUAAGACAGAGGUGAAAUCCCCGGGCUCAACCUGGGAACUGCCUUUGUGACUGCAAGGCUAGAGUACGGCAGAGAGGGGUGGAAUUCCGCGUGUAGCAGUGAAAUGCGUAUAUAUGCGGAGGAACACCGAUGGCGAAGGCAACCCCCUGGGCCUGUACUGACGCUCAUGCACGAAAGCGUGGGGAGCAAACA